rnacentral:rRNA from 1 species
UUAGAGUUUGAUCCUGGCUCAGGAUGAACGCUAGCGGCAGGCUUAACACAUGCAAGUCGAGGGGCAGCAUGGGAGUAGCAAUACUUCUGAUGGCGACCGGCGCACGGGUGCGUAACGCGUAUGCAACCUACCUGUAACAGGGGGAUAACACUGAGAAAUCGGUACUAAUACCGCAUAACACUAUGAGAGGCAUCUCUUGUGGUUGAAAGUUUCGGCGGUUACAGAUGGGCAUGCGUUGUAUUAGCUGGUUGGUAAGGUAACGGCUUACCAAGGCGACGAUACAUAGGGGGACUGAGAGGUUAACCCCCCACAUUGGUACUGAGACACGGACCAAACUCCUACGGGAGGCAGCAGUGAGGAAUAUUGGUCAAUGGACGGAAGUCUGAACCAGCCAUGCCGCGUGCAGGAAGACGGCUCUAUGAGUUGUAAACUGCUUUUGUACAAGGGUAAACCUGAAUACGUGUAUUCAGCUGAAAGUACUGUACGAAUAAGGAUCGGCUAACUCCGUGCCAGCAGCCGCGGUAAUACGGAGGAUCCAAGCGUUAUCCGGAUUUAUUGGGUUUAAAGGGUGCGUAGGCGGAUUGAUAAGUUAGAGGUGAAAUGUCCGAGCUCAACUCGGGAACUGCCUCUAAUACUGUUGAUCUAGAGAGUAGAUGCGGUAGGCGGAAUGUAUGGCGUAGCGGUGAAAUGCUUAGAGAUCAUACAGAACACCGAUUGCGAAGGCAGCUUACCAAUCUAUAUCUGACGUUGAGGCACGAAAGCGUGGGGAGCAAACAGGAUUAGAUACCCUGGUAGUCCACGCAGUAAACGAUGAUAGCUCGUUGUCGGCGAUACACAGUCGGUGACUAAGAGAAAUCGAUAAGCUAUCCACCUGGGGAGUACGUUCGCAAGAAUGAAACUCAAAGGAAUUGACGGGGGCCCGCACAAGCGGAGGAACAUGUGGUUUAAUUCGAUGAUACGCGAGGAACCUUACCCGGGCUUGAAAGUUAGUGACUGAUCUGGAAACAGGUCUUCCCUUCGGGGCACGAAACUAGGUGCUGCAUGGUUGUCGUCAGCUCGUGCCGUGAGGUGUCGGGUUAAGUCCCAUAACGAGCGCAACCCCUACUGAUAGUUGCCAUCAGGUCAAGCUGGGCACUCUAUCGGGACUGCCGGUGUAAGCCGGAGGAGGGUGGGGAUGACGUCAAAUCAGCACGGCCCUUACGUCCGGGGCGACACACGUGUUACAAUGGUAGGUACAGAGGGCAGCUACCCAGCGAUGGGGUGCAAAUCUCGAAAGCCUAUCUCAGUUCGGAUUGGAGGCUGAAACUCGCCUCCAUGAAGUUGGAUUCGCCAGUAAUCGCGCAUCAGCCAUGGCGCGGUGAAUACGUUCCCGGGCCUUGCACUCACCGCCCGUCAAG